UCUGUUUUUCUAUUGUUUUUUAUAAUGUUAAUGGCUUACUUUUCUGUUUUCGUGUAAUAUCUAUGAUAACAUAGACCCUGCUUUCCCCCUCAAGGCCGUCAGAGUGGUAUAUCCUUUACAGACGACCGAAACAUUUUCAGAGGGAAGGCGGGCUCAGAUUUGCCAAAAUCGUGCAACUUUUCUUCUCUCAGAGGAAGAGCGGUCGUUCUUAUUCUACCCUCGCCUAAAUGUGAAGAUGAAGACAAACUUACUUGACCUGCUGAUGGUAGUUGUAGUACCAAACUUAUCAGACAGGGGGAGCAGUUGUGCCAUGAAUUUGUUGACAGGCUGAGGUGGAGGUAUACAUACAUGUAUUAUACUUAUGAACCUGAGACCCAGUGAUAUUCUGUCUACAGCACAUGUAUCCAGAUGGAAAAAUGUUGAAGCAGCUUUACUAUGGUCCUGAUCUCAAGUUCUGGUUGACUGAUGAGUUUCCUACUGUGCUGCUCUGGUGACAAUCUGGUGGGAUGAAAUGAUAUGCAGUUGCAUUGGAAAUACGAUAUUUCCAUGGAUAAACCCCUUGGUUACAAGACGUUUUCCAUGGAACAAGGACUGUGAGAGAGGACAUUCUGCUGGGAUAGGAGUGAAUCUGUGAUAACCCCAAAUCAGUGAUAUCCUCUGUUAUAUUUGCUUUGCCAACACCUGCAUUCUACUUCACUGGGGCAAAAGCUAUCAAAGAACUGACGACCAAUUAAGAACAUUCCUAUCAUGGGAGUUGGUUGUGCUGAACUGCAAGGAUUCAUCACUGUCAUCAUGCUGAACCAUCACCUAGAAUAUCCCGAAAAAUGGGAAAGCCCUCUCUCUGUAUGGUCGGCUACUAGUCACACCGUUUGCAAGAUUCUCUCCUGACCUGUAGUGACCUGUACUGACCAGCUUGCCAGUCCAGUGGCACUGGCUGCUUGUUGGCAGAGUAUCUGAUUACAUCUGUUGUGUUGUUUCAACUGUAGUAAGAGGGGGAUCAGGGUGUUUUGACCAUGCCGUUGAACAAAGACUGCCCAUCUACUCUUCAGAGAUGGUGUAAGAGAUAGAAGUUCAAUUCCAGAAGGAAUGGUAUGUCCACUCAAAGGAGUUAAUGAAUGCGGAGAAGGGGCAAGCCACGCUGACCUCCAGGGUCGUGUCAACAAUACCCAUAAAUACAGGGGUCAUGGGAGUUGGCUGGAGCUCCGCUGAUCCCCAGCCUUGUACAAUGACCAAACUGCAUAGAGGCACAACAUGCGCACACAGUUCUUCACUAUGUGCCAGCUAGCAAGUGGUCAGUCAGUGUGAGAAAAGGGCAUUCACGGUAGACAUCCGUUCUGGCCUGUCCAGUUCACAUCUCUUUAUGGUAUCGGCUUGACCAUCACAAGCUGGCCAGGACCCCCGAAAGUUUGUAUCCCCUAUACGUGUGCUUUUGAGAUAUCGGACAAGCAGGACUGAAGUUAGUGAAGAGGCCCUACAGAUUGAACAGAGCUCUGUCAACAAGAAGGCGGAGCCAACUGUCCUUGGAUCCCCUGGCACCAGGCAGAAAUAGGGGAGGACAAAGGUCACCAACUGACCAGCAUCCAAAACAUGUGCUUAUCCAGUAAACUCCCUAUGGGCCAAACUGGUCUGACAGGGAGAGGAAUAUUUCUCAGGUUUGACCACAUUCCAGGGCCUGUUUGAGGUGUGAGCCUGCGCCCAUAAGUACAAUCAAUUGGCUGUUGAUUAAUAGAACGCAACACUGUUUACACUCGGGGAGCGGGGCUGGAUUGGAUGUGGGGUAACUGAAGUAAACUGAAGCUGUCUUUACGAAAACAGUAAAACACUGAACAUACAACACACACAUCCUUACCUGCAGCAACGCAUUAUGCAGUAAAAACGUAAGCCAAUGGCACUUUUACUCUUAUACAUCUUACUUUCAACUACUUAUAUAGUAUCAAUUUAUACUAUCAAAGAUUUUUAUUGUAUAUCACAUGUUGAAGAUGGACAUAUCGAAUAAAGUCUAUUUAUGUCCCAAA